rnacentral:rRNA from 1 species
GAUGAACGCUGGCGGCGUGCCUAAUACAUGCCAGUCGAGCGAACAGAUAAGGAGCUUGCUCCUUUGAAGUUAGCGGCGGACGGGUGAGUAACACGUGGGUAACCUACCUAUAAGACUGGGAUAACUUCGGGAAACCGGAGCUAAUACCGGAUAACAUUUAGAACCGCAUGGUUCUAAAGUGAAAGAUGGUUUUGCUAUCACUUAUAGAUGGACCCGCGCCGUAUUAGCUAGUUGGUAAGGUAACGGCUUACCAAGGCGACGAUACGUAGCCGACCUGAGAGGGUGAUCGGCCACACUGGAACUGAGACACGGUCCAGACUCCUACGGGAGGCAGCAGUAGGGAAUCUUCCGCAAUGGGCGAAAGCCUGACGGAGCAACGCCGCGUGAGUGAUGAAGGGUUUCGGCCCGUAAAACUCUGUUAUUAGGGAAGAACAAAUGUGUAAGUAACUGUGCACAUCUUGACGGUACCUAAUCAGAAAGCCACGGCUAACUACGUG